AGUUGGAUAGCCAAGUGGUUAAGGCAGCACACCUAGAAAGCUACCACUGAGGUCCCUGGUUUGAAUCCGGGUCUGAUCA
rnacentral:tRNA from 1 species